rnacentral:tRNA from 1 species
GCCGCAGAAGCCGAAGGGGUGAGGCGACCGGCUUCCAACCGGUAGGACGGGGUUCGACUCCCCGCUGCGGCUC